rnacentral:rRNA from 1 species
CCUACGGGCGGCUGCAGUGGGGAAUAUUGCACAAUGGGCGCAAGCCUGAUGCAGCCAUGCCGCGUGUGUGAAGAAGGCCUUCGGGUUGUAAAGCACUUUCAGCGGGGAGGAAGGCGGUGAGGUUAAUAACCUCAUCGAUUGACGUUACCCGCAGAAGAAGCACCGGCUAACUCCGUGCCAGCAGCCGCGGUAAUACGGAGGGUGCAAGCGUUAAUCGGAAUUACUGGGCGUAAAGCGCACGCAGGCGGUCUGUCAAGUCGGAUGUGAAAUCCCCGGGCUCAACCUGGGAACUGCAUUCGAAACUGGCAGGCUAGAGUCUUGUAGAGGGGGGUAGAAUUCCAGGUGUAGCGGUGAAAUGCGUAGAGAUCUGGAGGAAUAGCGGUGGCGAAGGCGGCCCCCUGGACAAAGACUGACGCUCAGGUGCGAAAGCGUGGGGAGCAAACAGGAUUAGAUACCCGUGUAGUC